rnacentral:rRNA from 1 species
UGGGGAAUAUUGGACAAUGGGGGCAACCCUGAUCCAGCGAUGCCGCGUGUGUGAAGAAGGCCUGCGGGUUGUAAAGCACUUUGAGUGGGGAGGAAGGGAUAGCUGCGAAUAGUGGUUAUUUUUGACGUUACCCACAGAACAAGCACCGGCUAACUCUGUGCCAGCAGCCGCGGUAAUACAGAGGGUGCAAGCGUUAAUCGGAAUUACUGGGCGUAAAGGGCGCGUAGGUGGGUAGAUAAGUCAGAUGUGAAAGCCCUGGGCUUAACCUAGGAACUGCAUUUGAUACUGUUUAUCUAGAGUGAAGUAGAGGGUAGUGGAAUUUCCGGUGUAGCGGUGAAAUGCGUAGAUAUCGGAAGGAACACCAGUGGCGAAGGCGACUACCUGGACUUCAACUGACACUGAGGCGCGAAAGCGUGGGGAGCGAACAGGAUUAGAUACCCCGGUAGUCC